UUGAUUACGUCCCUGCCCUUUGUACACACCGCCCGUCGCUACUACCGAUUGGAUGACUUAGUGAGGUCUUAGGACCGACGUAAAGGAGCUUUCGCGAGUUCUUUUUCGUUGGAAAUUUGAUCGAACUACGUUAUCUAGAGGAAGUAAAAGUCGUAACAAGGUUUCCGUAGGUGAACCUGCGGAAGGAUCAUUACCAAGCUAGAAAAAGAAUGAAUGAAUGAAAGGACAGCGAAUAUAUAUAUGAAUAUAGAAUGAAUUCUAUUUCGCUAGUCGGGACUACGGCCGGGAAAAUGGGCGAGGCGCUCUUGCGCGAAAGCCUCGGUCGAUUAGUCGCCAUUGUGAUGAAUGUGUGUGAAUCCAGGCUCGUGUCGUGGUGCGGCGAUCGUUGCAGACGCGUCGGUUGUAGCGGAGUUGGGAUACCUACCCGCGGUCUCUGCCGAUUUACGAUCGUAUACGCGCGCGCGAUGUCUGCGAUUCAUUAUAGACGUUCGGGAUCGAGCCGGUCGUAAAGUAUAUAUAUAUCCGGUUCGAUUCUUCUUCGGGUACCUAUCGAAGCUAACGCCUGCGGUUUCGUCUGGCCGUAGCGGAUUAGCGUUAGUUUCGAGGACCCUUCCCCUCGGGAAGGGGCAGAUUUAAAGAGUCGCGGCUCUCGUCGAAUCGAAGAGAGCGAUCUCGCUUCGAACCCGCGAAAUUUUCGAAACCUCGUCGUUUGUAAAAUAACGACUGGGGGUUUCGAAGGGGUUGUCGCUCGAGAUCCUGGGUUCGCCCGGGUGACCGCCCGAAACAAAAAAUAUUCUCAAAUAUAUAAUCAUUAUAAGAAGAAAGAAAGAAUCUAAUCGAUUCCAUCAUUCUAAGCGGUGGAUCACUAGGCUCGCGGGUCGAUGAAGAACGGGGCCAGCCCCGAGAAUAAGUGCGAAUUGCAGACACAAAGAGCAUCGACUUUUCGAACGCAUAUUGCGGUAUCGGGCCCGCUCGAUACCACGCCUAUCUGAGGGUCGAAUAACCGAUAUCGUAAGAGAACGCUCUCACGAAAACGAGGCGAUUCUACAUAGAAUGGUCGGAGACAUUUCGAAAUGAAAAUUAGUCGUCCGACUGAAAGGAACGGUCGCCGUAAAUGGCGCGACCGCCUAGAGAGACGACUCGAUAGAGUGAUCGACUGGUGUUGGUGGUGUCCUACGUAAAAAAUAGGAGAGAAUUCAGCCAGUCGGUCGGUCGGUCGAUCGAGCGAAUGAACGAACGUCGUUUAUUAGUAGUCGUAAUCGAAGUCGCGUUUGCGUCGUAAUGUUUAAAGCUACACUUCGAUCGAAAAUGCGACGAACGUAACGCGGAACCAAACUCGAAUUUUGACCUCAGAUUAGACGAGAAAACCCGCCGAAUUUAAGCAUAUAACUAGGCGGAGGAAAAGAAAUUAACGAAGAUUUCCUUAGUAACGGCGAGUGAAA
rnacentral:rRNA from 1 species